UUUGCUCCUCGAGGCGUUGCAGCACAGCUAGAUGUGCCGUGCCUGUGUCAUGAGGCGCAUAGAGCAGAAGGGCGCCAUAAAUU